UACGGAGGGUGCGAACGUUAAUCGGAAUUACUGGGCGUAAAGCGCGCGUAGGCGGUUCGGCAAGUGGGAUGUGAAAGCCCCGGGCUUAACCUGGGAAUUGCGUUCCAAACUACCGGGCUAGAGUAUGGUAGAGGGAGGUAGAAUUUCCUGUGUAGCGGUGAAAUGCGUAGAUAUAGGAAGGAAUACCGGUGGCGAAGGCGGCCUCCUGGACCAAUACUGACGCUGAGGUGCGAAAGCGUGGGGAGCAAACAGG
rnacentral:rRNA from 1 species